CGACUUCGGGUCACGACGCGAGGGCUUC
rnacentral:sRNA from 1 species